UUCUUAUUAAGAGGAGCGGAGGGACUGGCCCAAUGACGCUUCAGCAACCCCACUUAGGUGGAAGGUGCUAAUUCCUGCAGGAGAUGAAGAUCCUGGAUGAUAAGAG
rnacentral:ncRNA from 2 species